UACGGAGGGGGCUAGCGUUGUUCGGAAUUACUGGGCGUAAAGCGCACGUAGGCGGCUUUGUAAGUUAGAGGUGAAAGCCCGGGGCUCAACCCCGGAAUUGCCUUUAAGACUGCAUCGCUAGAAUUGUGGAGAGGUAAGUGGAAUUCCGAGUGUAGAGGUGAAAUUCGUAGAUAAUCGGAAGAACACCAGUGGCGAAGGCGACUUACUGGACACAUAUUGACGCUGAGACUCGAAAGCGUGGGGAGCAAACGGG
rnacentral:rRNA from 1 species